AUACACACACACAUAAAUCUGUGCAAACACUUACUAACGCACACACGUUUGCAUGAUAAUGCUGAUAAUAAUGUUAUGGAAGAGCGGUGUCUUCUGACACAGAAGUAGUUUUCCUACUUCUAAAAGAAGGCUCCAACCUCAUAAGAGUUACUGUAGACCUAAGUUAUUUGAAA